UACGAAGGUCUCAAGCGUUAGGCGGAAUCACUGGGCUUAAAGCGUGUGUAGGUGGGUUUGUAAGUACCUUGUGAAAUCCCAUGGCUCAACCAUGGAACUGCUUGGUAUACUGCGAAUCUUGAACUGUCUAGAGGUUACUGGAACAAACGGUGGAGCGGUGAAAUGCGUAGAUAUCGUUUGGAACGCCAAUGGUGAAAACAGGUAACUGGGGACACGCUGACACUGAGACACGAAAGCCAGGGGAGCAAACGGG
rnacentral:rRNA from 1 species